rnacentral:rRNA from 1 species
CUACGGUGAAUACGUUCCCGGACCUUGUACACACCGCCCGCCAAGCCAUGGAAGCUGGGUGUACCUAAAGUCGAUAACCGUAAGGAGUCGCCUAGGGUAAACUAGUAACUGGGGCU